UUGUGCCACUGCACUCCAGACUAGGUGAUAGAGUGAGACUCUGUCUCAAAUAAAGAAAAAAAAUAUUCAUGGACUGGAUGGAUUUAAUUGGCAAACUUAAUUGACUGGGCUGAGAACCAGAUUUGUUUGAUGGAUUUCAUCCUCUCAAGCUUGGCCAUAUGCAGAACACUUUUGCUCGGGUGUUGCUAUUAGAUGUACUUAUAAUGACUAUCCAAAUAUAGAUGCCGUUAAUCAUAACCUAAUUAAAAUUAUAACAAUAUUUGACAUUCUCAGAUUAGUUUCAAAGCAGUUAGGUAUCUGGUUAGCCUCAUAUCUCAGUAUUUUUUAUUUGCUUAAAGUAGCACUUUUCCACCAUGCAAUUUUCCUCUGGCUGAAGUGGAGGAUUAGCAGGGCUGUUUUUACAUUCUUAAUGAUCUUCUUGUUUUUCUACAUAUCCAUCAUUUCAAUGAUUAAGAUCAAAUUAUUUCUGGAUCAAUGUUGAUAUAAAAUAUAACAGAAACUCCUAUUGGAAGGUCGGUGUGAAUGAAGCCCACCUUCCUGUUGACCAGAUGCUCAUUAACCUGGAGUUGUCUAUUCACUUUACCAUUUCUCCUAUCUAAUGUUCCUUGUUUGUUAUCUCCCUAAGGGGAAACACUGUACAGCUGUAGUGAUAGGCGACUGGCUCCAGAGACCCAGGACAGAGGCCUAUGUGAGAGCCAUGAACAUUAUGAUUGCUUUCUUCUUCCACCUUCUCUACAGUUUGGGAACUUCCCUUUCAUCCAUCAGCUACUUUCUAUGCAAGAGGAAAAUAGUGGCACUAGGUGCCUACCUAUCCAUUAAGUCACUCAUUUAUCCUGAUUAUGGAAAACAACAAGGUUAGAAAAGCCCUUUAAAGAUUGCCGUGUCAAUUUAAAAAUGCUUCAAAGUAGCAAAAAGAGGAAAU
rnacentral:lncRNA from 10 species